rnacentral:rRNA from 1 species
UCGGGAAUAUUGCGCAAUGGAGGAAACUCUGACGCAGUGACGCCGCGUGCAGGAAGAAGGUUUUCGGAUUGUAAACUGCUUUAGACAGGGAAGAAAAAGGACAGUACCUGUAGAAUAAGCUCCGGCUAACUACGUGCCAGCAGCCGCGGUAAUACGUAGGGAGCAAGCGUUAUCCGGAUUUAUUGGGUGUAAAGGGUGCGUAGACGGGAAGUUAAGUUAGUUGUGAAAUCCCUCGGCUCAACUGAGGAACUGCAACUAAAACUGAUUUUCUUGAGUGCUGGAGAGGAAAGUGGAAUUCCUAGUGUAGCGGUGAAAUGCGUAGAUAUUAGGAGGAACACCAGUGGCGAAGGCGACUUUCUGGACAGUAACUGACGUUGAGGCACGAAAGUGUGGGGAGCAAACA